rnacentral:rRNA from 1 species
GACGAACGCUGGCGGCGUGCCUAAUACAUGCAAGUAGGACGCAGUUGCGAACGGGUGAGUAACGCGUAGGCACCUACCUAUUAGAGGGGGAUAACUAUUGGCAACGAUAGCUCAUACCGCAUACUAGUAGAUGGACCUGCGUUGUAUUAGCUAGUAGGCAGGGGAAUGGCCUACCUAGGUAACGUUACAUAGGCGACCUGGAGGGGUGGUGGGCCAAACUGGGACUGGGAAACGGCCCAGACUCCUACGGGGGGCAGCCAGAGGGAAUCUUUGGAAAAGGGGGGAACCCUGGCCGAGCAAAGACCGGGGAGUUAAGAAGGUUUUCGGGGCGUAAAGGUCUGUUGUUAAGGAAGCGGUACUUAACCAGAAAGUGACGGCUAACUACGUGCCAGCAGCCGCGGUAAUAC